CUGUACUGAAGUCUGAGGCUACUAGUAUUGUGUUGGAUUGUCCUGUGGCAACUAUAUUUCGACGCUGUGGCCUGAGUGAGACACUUUCCUCCGACAUGGGAUACUGGACAGAUAGGUUUCUUUCUUUGCCAUUUAACCGCAGGCUCUAGGCUUUAGUUGAUCUCUUGUACAAUUAGUAGAAUUUUUUUGGUUCCCAUAUUGUAUAUGAUUUAAAUAUAAUACAGCCAAGUAGUGUACAUUGUAUUUACCAUGGAAACUAGGUUGACAAUUACUGCCCAGUUUAUAAGUGAUGGUCGUUCUCUGGGGUACGAAGGUGAAAGAUUAGAGAGGUAUGUGGCUGAGCAGAAAGAAGACUAUGAAAAAGCUAAGAAAGAGAAAAGGCUAGAUUUGAGAGAGAGGAAAGAUUGAAAGCAGAGGCGAAGGCAGAGGAGAAGGCCAGAUUUGAACGUGAGAAGGAGCAGUUUGAACGUGAGGAUAAGGCCAAGCGUGAGGAACACGAGAGGUGGAAAGAAAGAGAUGCCAGGGAGGAACUCAAGAGGAAGGAGGAGAUGGAACUAGAAAGAAUGAAGGAAAAGUCAGCAGCAGCGGCUGGGAAGGCAACACAAGCAGAGGUGCGGCCUAGAAAUGUUUUAGAUAAACUUGACAAGAGCUUCCAGGGAAUGAAGGAAGACGAUGACCUGAUGGCAUACUGUCAAGCGUCUUACCACAAAACUCCACUGAAAUACACGUUUCCACACAAAUUAAAAUCCAGACCAACAUUAGAAUCCAAAAGACACAGUGCACAUCCAUUGAAACAUUGGAGUAGUAACAAAUUACAUGAAAUAUUAACAGAAAAAAAAUUAGAAAAAAAGAGUCCAGUACAAUCAGGUCGCCUGCUGUGCAGAGCCACAAAACAUUAUAGAUAUUUUUAUUGACAAAUGAAUGACGAGUUUAUAUAUCUUUGCAGUUUUUUCCUAGGACUAACCAUUACUGAGCUAUAAAAAUUCAAACAUAAAUAUUGUGGCGACAGCGCUUAACUUGUUCGUAAGAGGGAAAUUACCAUAUAUAAUUUAGAUCUUGUUUAUAAGAGGGAAAAUUACCAUAUAUCUAGAUCUAGUAAAUAGUAACUUUAUUUAACAAUAGAGGCAGAGCACAUCAUAUCAGAUGUUACUUGUGGACCGGUUCCUGGAUCAUAUGAUAAUGCUAGGGCUGAUUAUGACAUCCGUUCCACCCCUGAAGUCAAGCACUUUAUCACUAGGAAACCAUGCCCCCCUGACAAUGUAAGGAGUCAGUAGCAAGUGUAAAAGAAAACAAUCCAUGACUUUAGCCACAUUAGAGAAUCUUUUUGAAGGAUAAUGGUGCACUGGGUUUUAAGACUGAAUGGUGGAGAGUACCAUGAUGGCAUGUUUAAUGAUUUGAAAGAACUGGCUAUUGGGCAAUGAUUCACUUUGGAAGCAAUGAUUAAAGCAUCAAAACUAAACCCUAGAUUUUUCUAUGAAAUUGUGUCCUUCUGAUCAAAUUAUUGUGUGAUGUUGCUAAAGUGGAGAAAAUUAGCUGUAAUCACCAAAACCACAUGAUCGCCACUGCAUCAGGACAGGGUUACUUUCAGAACUUUGAUGAGAGAGACAGCGAGGAGGAAACUGGAAAGCACAGUGUUGUGAAAAAGAAGAAUCCAUGGGACUUUUCUCUAAAACUUUGGAAGAUACCAUUUGAAGAGGAGGUAGAGAAUAGCUCAUCUAAUAGGUAGCCUCACUGUAUUCUCAUUAUUGUUAACAUUAGUUUUUAUCUUCAACUUCUAUGCAGUUCUUUUCAGCUUUGCACCUUUUGUUUUUAUUAGACUGAAUAAAUUACAUCCUUUUCAGUUUUUAUAUAUAUUUUUUUUAAAUGAAUGAUUGUGUUUUUUUUUAUUAUCUUUAAAUGAAUCUGAGUAAUAUCAUGGGUUUCUAAAAUACUAUUAUUCUAAAAGUGUUUUUUUUUCUUUUAGAAAAAUUAAAAUUGUACUGAAAUAAAAACUGCGUGCUUCAUUGCAUUUAUAGGACUAAUUCAAUGACAAUUUAAUUGAACAGUUGUUUGACCCGUGUCAGUGUUUCACUUGAAAAUGAAAAAAAAUGUACAUUAGUUGUUUUUUUUUAUUGUAAGAUUAUUUGUACACUAAAAGCUUUGUUGUUUAUCUAAAUCCUUCAAAAUGCAAUAUAAUACAUAUCUUAAAUUGUUCCAUAUAUAAAGUGAGGCGGUUGAUAAAAUUUAAUGAGUUUGAAUUUGUUUUGUCUUGAUUGAUUCAAAUUUUCCCAGUACUUUUGUAUCGUCUGAAAAUACAAUAAACUAUAAAGCCAUUUG
rnacentral:sRNA from 1 species